rnacentral:rRNA from 1 species
GACGAACGCUGGCGGCGUGCUUAACACAUGCAAGUCGAACGGAAAGGCCUGCUUUCCCUUGUGGAUUGCGGGUACUCGAGUGGCGAACGGGUGAGUAACACGUGAGUGAUCUGCCCCCAACUUGGGUAUAAGCCUGGGAAACUGGGUCUAAUUCCCGAUAGGACUGCAGGGUGGUGCCUGUGGUGGAAAACGAUUUUCUAGUGGUUGGGGAUGAGCUCGCGGCCUAUCAGCUUGUUGGUGGGGUAAUGGCCUACCAAGGCGGCGACGGGUAGCCGGCCUGAGAGGGUGGACGGCCACAUUGGGACUGAGAUACGGCCCAGACUCCUACGGGAGGCAGCAGUGGGGAAUAUUGCACAAUGGACGGAAGCCUGAUGCAGCGACGCCGCGUGGGGGAUGACGGCCUUCGGGUUGUAAACUCCUUUCGACCGCGAGGAAGCCACCUGGUUGGAAGGGUGGUGACGGUAGUGGUAGAAGAAGCACCGGCUAACUACGUG